AUCAACGCUGGCGGCGGUGCCUAAACACAUGCAAAGUCGAACGGAGAAAAGCGGGAGCACAUCCUGUGAGUACAGUGGGCGUACGGGUGAGUAACCACGUGACUAACCUACCCUCGAGGAGUGGGGGAUAACCGGGGAAACCGGGGCUAAUACCGCCAUAAACAUCGAAGGUAGAUUCACAAGGAGGCAAUUCCGCUUGAGGAGGGGGUCCGCGGCUGAUUAAGUAGUGUGGAGUGGUAACGGGCUCACCAAGAGCGAUGAUCGAGUAAGCCGGCCUGAGAGGGCGGCACGGCCACACCUGGAACUGAAGCACGGUCCAGACUCCUACGGGAGGCAGCAGUGGGGAAUUUUGCGCAAUGGGGGAAACCCUGACGCAGCAACGCCCGCGUGGAGGAUGAGGUCUUUGGAUUGUAAAACUUCCUUUCGACCCGGGGACGAUUAUGACGGUACCGGUGGAAGAAGCACCGGCUAACUCUGUGCCAGCAGCCGCGGUAAUACAGAGGGUGCAAGCGUUGUUCGGAAUUAUUGGGCGUAAAGGGCGCGUAGGCGGUGUCGCAAGGUCGGUUAGUGAAAUUCUCCAGGCUCAACUUGGAGUCUGCUGCCGAAACUUGCGGUGCUGAGUGUGGGAGAGGUGCGGUGGAGUUCCCGGUGUAGCGGUGAAAUGCCGUAGAUAUCGGGAGGAACACCUGUGGGCGGAAAGCGGGCGCACUGGACCACCAACUGACGCUGAUGCGCGAAAGCCAGGGGAGCAAACCAGGAUUAGAUACCCUUGGUAGUCCUAGCCCUAAAACGAUGAACACUGGUGUGGCGGGUAACCCCAAUCCCGCCGUGCCGGAGCUAACGGCGUUAAGUGUUCCCGCCUGGGGAGUACGGUCGCAAAGGCUGAAACUCAAAGGAAUUGACGGGGGGCCCGCACAAGCGGUAGAGCAUUGUGGUUUCAAUUCGACGCAACGCGAAAGAAACCUUAACCUGGGGCUCGAAAUGCAGUGGAAUCCGGUGGAAACAUCGGCGCCCGCAAGGGCCGCCUGCGGAGGUGCUGCAUGCUGUCGUCAGCUCGUGUCGUGAGAUGUUGGGUUAAGUCCCGCAACGAGCGCAAACCCCUUAUCGCUAGUUUGCCAUCAGGUCAAGCUGGCCACUCUAGAGAAACCGCCCCGAUAACGGGGAGGAAGGUGGGGAUGAACGUCAAGGUCCUCAUGGGCCUUUAUGGUCCAGGGCUACACACCGUGCUCAACAAUGGUCGGUACACAAACCGUCGCAAACCCACCCGCGAGGGGGAGCUAAUCGGAAAAAAAAGCCGGCCUCAGUUCGGAUUGGAGUCUGCAACUCGACUCCAUUGAAAGCUGGAAUCGCUAGUAAUCGCAGAUCAGGCACGCUGCGGUGAAUACGUUCCCGGGCCCUUGUAACACACCGCCCGUCACAAUCACGAAAGUGGACUGUACUAAGAAGCCGGUACGCUAACCCGCAAGGGGGGUAGCCGUCCAAGGUAUAGUUCAUGAAUUGGGGUG
rnacentral:rRNA from 1 species